rnacentral:rRNA from 1 species
UACGAAGGGGACUAGCGUUGUUCGGAAUCACUGGGCGUAAAGCGCACGUAGGCGGAUAUGUCAGUCAGGGGUGAAAUCCCGGGGCUCAACCUCGGAACUGCCUUUGAUACAGCAUGUCUUGAGUCCGAUAGAGGUGGGUGGAAUUCCUAGUGUAGAGGUGAAAUUCGUAGAUAUUAGGAAGAACACCGGUGGCGAAGGCGGCCCACUGGAUCGGUACUGACGCUGAGACGCGAAAGCGUGGGGAGCAAACAGG